rnacentral:rRNA from 1 species
CGGGCAGGCGGUCUGUUAAGUCGUUUGUGAAAAUCCGGGGCUCAACCCCGGAAAUGCAUACGAUACUGGCAGGCUGGAGACUGGUAGAGGCUAGCGGAAUUCCUGGUGUAGCGGUGGAAUGCGUAGAUAUCAGGAAGAACACCUGUGGCGAAGGCGGCUAGCUGGGCCAGUUCUGACGCUCAUCCGCGAAAGCGUGGGGAGCAAACAGGAUUAGAUACCCUGGUAGUCCACGCCGUAAACGAUGGGCACUAGGUGCCGGGUCUCUAGACGGAUUCGGUGCCGCAGUUAACGCAUUAAGUGCCCCGCCUGGGGAGUACGGUCGCAAGGCUGAA